rnacentral:rRNA from 1 species
GACGAACGCUGGCGGCGUGCUUAACACAUGCAAGUCGAACGGAAAGACCCUGCUUUUGUGGGGUGCUCGAGUGGCGAACGGGUGAGUAACACGUGAGUAACCUGCCCUUGACUUUGGGAUAACUUCAGGAAACUGGGGCUAAUACCGGAUAGGAGCUCCUGCUGCAUGGUGGGGGUUGGAAAGUUUCGGCGGUUGGGGAUGGACUCGCGGCUUAUCAGCUUGUUGGUGGGGUAGUGGCUUACCAAGGCGUUGACGGGUAGCCGGCCUGAGAGGGUGACCGGCCACAUUGGGACUGGGAUACGGCCCGGACUCCUACGGGAGGCAGCAGUGGGGAAUAUUGCACGAUGGGCGGAAGCCUGGUGCAGCAACGCCGCGUGCGGGAUGACGGCCUUCGGGUUGUAAACCGCUUUCGCCUGUGACGAAGCGUGAGUGACGGUAAUGGGUAAAGAAGCACCGGCUAACUACGUG